GACGAACCACCCAAACGUUAUUCGGAAUUACUGGGCUUAAAGCGUGCGUAGGCGGUCCGGAAAGUUAGGUGUGAAAUCCCCCAGCUCAACUGUGGAACUGCGCUUAAAACUACCGGACUUGAGGGAUAUAGAGGUGAGCAGAACAGAUGGUGGAGCGGUGAAAUGCGUUGAUAUCAUCUGGAAUACCGGAGGCGAAGGCGGCUCACUGGGUAUCUUCUGACGCUGAGGUACGAAAGCUAGGGGAGCGAACGGG
rnacentral:rRNA from 1 species